rnacentral:rRNA from 1 species
UACGAAGGGGGCUAGCGUUGCUCGGAGUUACUGGGCGUAAAGGGCGCGUAGGCGGCACUGUUAGUCAGGCGUGAAAGUCCUGGGCUCAACCUGGGAACUGCGCUUGAUACGGCAGAGCUAGAGGAUGGAAGAGGCUCGCGGAAUUCCCAGUGUAGAGGUGAAAUUCGUAGAUAUUGGGAAGAACACCGGUGGCGAAGGCGGCGAGCUGGUCCAUUACUGACGCUGAGGCGCGACAGCGUGGGGAGCAAACAGG